UACGUAGGGCGCAAGCGUUGUCCGGAAUUAUUGGGCGUAAAGAGCUCGUAGGUGGCUUGUUGCGUCUGCCGUGAAAGCCCGUGGCUUAACUGCGGGUCUGCGGUGGAUACGGGCAGGCUAGAGGCUGAUAGGGGCAAGCGGAAUUCCUGGUGUAGCGGUGAAAUGCGCAGAUAUCAGGAGGAACACCGGUGGCGAAGGCGGCUUGCUGGGCCAGUUCUGACGCUGAGGAGCGAAAGCGUGGGGAGCGAACAGG
rnacentral:rRNA from 1 species